rnacentral:rRNA from 1 species
UUGAAAGGGAAACGAUUGAAGUCAGUCGUACCUGCGGGUAAUCAGCCUUUUGGGCAUGAUUCUGUGGAGCGUGAGGAGUUAAACGCCUUCAUGCCUGCAUAUUCGUGUACUUUGGGUGUACUUGCCUGUGUGGUCAGUUAACAUCAAUUUUGGUUAUCAUAAAAUGGUUGGAGGAAUGUAGCUUCGAUUUCGAUUGAAGUGUUAUAGCCUUCGGCAGAUGUGAUGAUCGGGAUUGAGGAUUGCAACGGAUACCCUUCGGGGCUACCUGUCUGGUCUCUGAUCGUUGCUUUGGUGCCGAAAGCGUGCUUACGGUUAUCAAAGUCGAUGGUCAAUAGGUUAGAACGGGUUAAAUUCGUUAAGGAUGUUGACGUA